rnacentral:rRNA from 1 species
GACGAACGCUGGCGGCGUGCCUAAUACAUGCAAGUCGAACGCACUCUCGUUUAGAUUGAAGGAGCUUGCUCCUGAUUGAUAAACAUUUGAGUGAGUGGCGGACGGGUGAGUAACACGUGGGUAACCUGCCCUAAAGUGGGGGAUAACAUUUGGAAACAGAUACUAAUACCGCAUAAAACCUAACACCGCAUGGUGUAGGGUUGAAAGAUGGUUUCGGCUAUCACUUUAGGAUGGACCCGCGGUGCAUUAGUUAGUUGGUGAGGUAAAGGCUCACCAAGACCGUGAUACAUAGCCGACCUGAGAGGGUAAUCGGCCACACUGGGACUGAGACACGGCCCAGACUCCUACGGGAGGCAGCAGUAGGGAAUCUUCCACAAUGGACGAAAGUCUGAUGGAGCAACGCCGCGUGAGUGAAGAAGGUUUUCGGAUCGUAAAACUCUGUUGUUGGAGAAGAAUGUAUCUGAUAGUAACUGAUCAGGUAGUGACGGUAUCCAACCAGAAAG